UUAAUUGAAGAGUUUGAUCAUGGCUCAGAUUGAACGCUGGCGGCAGGCCUAACACAUGCAAGUCGAGCGGCAGCGACUUAACUGAACCUUCGGGGAACGUUAAGGGCGGCGAGCGGCGGACGGGUGAGUAAUGCCUGGGAAUAUGCCCUGAUGUGGGGGAUAACUAUUGGAAACGAUAGCUAAUACCGCAUAAUCUCUUCGGAGCAAAGAGGGGGACCUUCGGGCCUCUCGCGUCAGGAUUAGCCCAGGUGGGAUUAGCUUGUUGGUGAGGUAAUGGCUCACCAAGGCAACGAUCCCUAGCUGGUCUGAGAGGAUGAUCAGCCACACUGGAACUGAGACACGGUCCAGACUCCUACGGGAGGCAGCAGUGGGGAAUAUUGCACAAUGGGGGAAACCCUGAUGCAGCCAUGCCGCGUGUGUGAAGAAGGCCUUCGGGUUGUAAAGCACUUUCAGUAGGGAGGAAGGUAGUG
rnacentral:rRNA from 1 species